rnacentral:rRNA from 1 species
GAUGAACGCUGGCGGCGUGCCUAAUACAUGCAAGUAGAACGCUGAAGGAGGAGCUUGCUCCUCUGGAUGAGUUGCGAACGGGGGAGUAACGCGUAGGUAACCUGCCUGGUAGCGGGGGAUAACUAUUGGAAACGAUAGCUAAUAUCGCAGGACAACAGUUAUUGCAUGAUAACCGUUUAAAAGGGGCAACUGCUCCACUACCAGAUGGAGCUGCUGUGUAUUAGCUAGUUGGUGGGGAAAAGGCUCACCAAGGAGACGAUACAUAGGCGACCUGAGAGGGGGGUCGGCCACACUGGGACUGGGACACGCCCCCGACUCCUCCGGGGGGCAGCAGUAGGGAAUCUUCGGCGAAGGGCGGGAGUCUGACCGAGCACCGCCGCGUGAGUGAAGAAAGUUUUCGGAUCGUGAAACUCUGUUGUAAGAGAAGAACGAGUAUGAGAGUGGAACGUUCACCCUGUGACGGUAUCUUACCAGAAAGGGACGGCUAACUACGUG